AUGCUGUCAGGCACAUGGUGGGAUUUUCUUGGAGUGUCCUGUGCAGGGCCAGAAGUUGGACUCAGUGAUCCUGAUGGGUCCCUUCAAAUCCAGCAUAGUUCAAAUCAGUGUCUCAGAGAAAGUGUAACAAGGAAGAUUCAGACAAGAGCAAAAGUGGGAUUUUUAACAACAGAAGCAUUCAGUCACUGCAGCAAUAUAUCCAGGCAGAUGGCUAGAAAGAUAUUUAGGCAUGAAAAGGCAAAAAAGAGAUGGAAUUCAAAAAAACCCCACCUUUUCUCCUGGUUUGUGUAUCAGGAACAUUUUAUAAUUCAACUUUUGGAUAAAGGUACCCAGCAGCUUGUGACCCAGAUGCAGCAUUGCAGACCCCUAAGAUAUACUUCAGAUAGAUUUCAUUAUUCCACUACAGAAGGAACCUAA
ensembl:lncRNA